rnacentral:lncRNA from 1 species
ACUUAGAAGUCAAGAAACAAAUAAAAUAUUUUUGGUAUUUUUUCAAAAUUAAAAUAAUACUUGAAUUAAAAUGAAAAAGAAAGGUCAAACUUUAAAUCCAUUUCAAAUCAACUUUGAAAAGUCCAAUGGAUCAUCCUAAGUUCAACAAAGUCAAACAAAGUUUGACAAAAAGUUUCAGCAUUUUUAGAAACCAGAAACUAUUUUUUAUCAAUUAAAAAUGC